rnacentral:lncRNA from 1 species
GUGCUAUUCUUUGUCGAACAAUUAGUAUAUGCCAGAUGCCAAACAAAGUAUUAUCUCAAUCCUAGUUGAAACCACUAACCAGGAGAGACCCAGGCAUAUAAUAGGUUAUCAGUAAACUGUUCAUUGUAAAACAAUGUAUGGGAAAAUGGUGGAGCUCAUUUCCAUUUAACAUAUGAGGACAUUGAGGCCCACAAAUUAUCCAAGGCAACACAAAUAGUGAGUGCAAAGCCUAAGAUUUAAGACUACAUCUUCAGGAAUACCCUCUAGUUCAACAGCUGGACCAGAGAAGAUAUCUGCGAGUACUGAUGAAGGGAUCAGGCUCCUAUCAUUUAGAAAUCAAGGUAGAGGCAGCUUCUACACUGACAUGCUCUAUAAGAGUGUUCCUGUGCAGGAAGUACCCACUGCCAUAGUUAUGGACAUUGGGCUGCAAAGUUCCUGAACAUAGCUUUGUCCAGAGAGAUACUUGAAAUCACUAUCUCUGAUUUCAACAUAAAAGAGAAUCCACCUGCCUAAGGAUCUGAAUGAUAGAAAAUAUCUCCCUGUUCCACAUCCCUAUUCAUUGCCAAAGUGCUAAGAAUAAGAUUAUGAGGUUCUGUGAGUCCUGUUGUGUCUGAAACUUCCUAGUGACUUGGAUAGGAUUCUACAAGUAGGGUUAAUGUCAGCUGUAAAGCCAAUUUCAAAGGGAGACCUGUGCUUCCUUACAU